UUCUAUUCUUGCUUUCUGGAGGGUUUUUAUCAUAAAUGGAUGCUGAAUUUUGUCAAGGGCUUUCUCUGCAUCUACUGGAUAAUCAUAUGGCUUUUAUUUUUCAAUUUGUUAAUGUAGUGUAUUACAUUGAUUGAUUUGCAGAUAUUAGAGAAUACUUACAUUCCUGGGAUAAAGCCCACUUGAUCAUGAGGAAGAAAAAAUGGGUAACAACGUUUCAGAUUUUAUUGAAACACAGAAAUGGCAACAAAGGUCACCCACAAGUGACAGAUAUGGACAGCUGAGCGCGGUGGCUGCGACAGUGCACCGGCCCGGCUGAGAAGAGCUACUAAGGACCCAAGGGCAGAAGUGACAGCUUAGAGGAGCUACCCUACAUCAGAGGUAAGGAGCAGUGGCUGUGCUUUGCUGGAGCAGCCAUGAAGAGACUCCACGUCCAAGGUUAGAGAAACCCAAGUAAGAUGGUAGGUAGGAACUGAGAGAGGGGAUCAAAGGGAAGACAGAAUGAAACUACAAUCACAA
ensembl:lncRNA